UGUUUUUUUAUUAAAAAUUUUUAUUUUUGUUUUUAAUAAAAAUAUUUUUUAUUUGAGUAUUAUUUUAGAAAAAAAUAGGGGUUUGAUAGAGGAUAGUACUGUGAAGGAAUUAAAUUAAAUAUAUUUUAAGUAAUGAUGUUUUGUUUACCUUUUGUAUCAGGGUUUAUUGAAUUUUAAAAUUUAUUUUUCUUUUCUCGAAAUUUCAAGAGCUAUGUUUCUAUGCUAUUUAAUGUUGUAAUAUUUUUUAAAAUAGUUGCAUAGGGGAUAUAUUCUAUUCAAUUGAUAAUAUCUAGUUUUUUAAGAAAUGGGUUUAAUCCAUAAAUAAAUUGGUUUAUUUAUUUAAUUUAGAUUUAUUUAUAUAUAAUAGAGGAUAAGCUCUAUUAUAAUUCUAUAAUUUGUUUUCUGGUAUUUUAUGUAGGAAUAAUAAUUUCCAUCUUUUAUUUUGUAAAAAUUAUUUUUACUGUAGUUUUUAUUUCCUUUCUUUUAGGUUUUUAUUAAAAAAAAUGAAUAAAUUUUUACUUUAUUGGGAAAAUGAUAAAAUUAGUAUUUUAUAUAAAUAAUUUAUAGUAAUUCGGCAAAUAUAAAUUCCACCUGUUUAACAAAAACAUGGUCUUUUGUUUAUAUAUAAGAUCUGGCCUGCCCAAUGUUAUUAAAUGGCUGCAGUAUUUUGACUGUACAAAGGUAGCAUAAUCACUUGUCUCUUAAUUGGAGUCUGGAAUGAAUGGUUGGAUGAGAAUUUUUCUUUCUUUAUUUUUUAUAAAAAAAUUAAUUUUUAAAUUAAAAAGUUUAAAUGUUAAUAGAGGACGAGAAGACCCUAUAGAACUUUAUUUCUUAUAGAAUAAUUGUUUUUUUGGAAAUAACUUUUUGUUAUUUGAUUAGGAAUUUUGUUGGGGUGACAAAAAAAAAUUUAUAACUUUUUUUAUUUUUGACAUUUAUUUAUGUAUUUUUGAUCCUUUAUUAUGGAAAAUAAGAUUAAGUUACCUUAGGGAUAACAGCGUUAUUGUUUUAGAGAGUUCAUAUUGAUAAAACAGUUUGCGACCUCGAUGUUGGAUUAAAAUUAGUUUCAGGAGCAGAAGAUUGACUAACUAGGUCUGUUCGACCUUUAAAUUUUUACAUGAUCUGAGUUCAGACCGGCGUGAGCCAGGUUGGUUUCUAUCCUUAUUUUAUUUCAAAGUUUUAGUACGAGAGGACCAGUGCUUUGGAAAUAUUUUUUUAAUUUUGAUUAUGUUU
rnacentral:rRNA from 1 species